rnacentral:rRNA from 1 species
AUUGAACGCUGGCGGCAUGCCUUACACAUGCAAGUCGAACGGCAGCAUGAUCUAGCUUGCUAGAUUGAUGGCGAGUGGCGAACGGGUGAGUAAUACAUCGGAACGUGCCCUGUAGUGGGGGAUAACUAGUCGAAAGAUCAGCUAAUACCUCAUACGACCUGAGGGUUAAAGUGGGGGGCCGCAAGGCCUCAUGCUAUAGGAGCGGCCGAUGUCUGAUUAGCUAGUUGGUGGGGUAAAGGCUCACCAAGGGGACGAUCAGUAGCUGGUCUGAGAGGACGAUCAGGCACAGUGGGACUGAGACACGGCACAGGGUCCUACGGGAGGCAGCGGUGGGGAAUGUUGGAAAAUGGGCGAAAGCUUGAUCCAGCAAUGGCGCGUGUGUGAAGAAGGCCUGCGGGUUGUAAAGCACUUUUGGCGGGAAAGAAAUGGCUCUGGUUAAUACCUGGGGUCGAGGACGGUACCGGAAGAAUAAGGACCGGCUAACUACGU